rnacentral:rRNA from 1 species
UAGCACAGAGAGCUUGCUCUCGGGUGACGAGCGGCGGACGGGUGAGUAAUGUCUGGGAAACUGCCUGAUGGAGGGGGAUAACUACUGGAAACGGUAGCUAAUACCGCAUAACGUCGCAAGACCAAAGUGGGGGACCUUCGGGCCUCAUGCCAUCAGAUGUGCCCAGAUGGGAUUAGCUAGUAGGUGGGGUAACGGCUCACCUAGGCGACGAUCCCUAGCUGGUCUGAGAGGAUGACCAGCCACACUGGAACUGAGAAACGGUCCAGACUCCUACGGGAGGAGCAGUGGGGAAUAUUGCACAAUGGGCGCAAGCCUGAUGCAGCCAUGCCGCGUGUGUGAAGAAGGCCUUCGGGUUGUAAAGCACUUUCAGCGGGGAGGAAGGCGGUGAGGUUAAUAACCUUGUCGAUUGACGUUACCCGCAGAAGAAGCACCGGCUAACUCCGUGCCAGCAGCCGCGGUAAUACGGAGGGUGCAAGCGUUAAUCGGAAUUACUGGGCGUAAAGCGCACGCAGGCGGUCUGUCAAGUCGGAUGUGAAAUCCCCGGGCUCAACCUGGGAACGGCAUUCGAAACUGGCAGGCUAGAGUCUUGUAGAGGGGGGUAGAAUUCCAGGUGUAGCGGUGAAAUGCGUAGAGAUCUGGAGGAAUACCGGUGGCGAAGGCGGCCCCCUGGACAAAGACUGACGCUCAGGUGCGAAAGCGUGGGGAGCAAACAGGAUUAGAUACCCUGGUAGUCCACGCCGUAAACGAUGUCGAUUUGGAGGUUGUGCCCUUGAGGCGUGGCUUCCGGAGCUAACGCGUUAAAUCGACCGCCUGGGGAGUACGGCCGCAAGGUUAAAACUCAAAUGAAUUGACGGGGGCCCGCACAGCGGUGGAGCAUGUGGUUUAAUUCGAUGCAACGCGAAGAACCUUACCUGGUCUUGACAUCCACAGAACUUCCAGAGAUGGAUUGGUGCCUUCGGGAACUGUGAGACAGGUGCUGCAUGGCUGUCGUCAGCUCGUGUUGGAAAUGUUGGGUUAAGUCCCGCAACGAGCGCAACCCUUAUCCUUUGUUGCCAGCGGUUCGGCCGGGAACUCAAAGGAGACUGCCAGUGAUAAACUGGAGGAAGGUGGGGAUGACGUAAGUCAUCAUGGCCCUUACGACCAGGGCUACACACGUGCUACAAUGGCAUAUACAAAGAGAAGCGACCUGCGAGAGCAAGCGGACCUCAUAAAGUAUGUCGUAGUCCGGAUUGGAGUCUGCAACUCGACUCCAUGAAGUCGGAAUCGCUAGUAAUCGUAGAUCAGAAUGCUACGGUGAAUACGUUCCCGGGCCUUGUACACACCGCCCGUCACACCAUGGGAGUGGGUUGCAAAAGAUGUAGUUAGCUUAACGGGACCUACGG